rfam:Triticum aestivum genome assembly, contig: Triticum_aestivum_CS42_TGACv1_scaffold_061179_1DL
UAUAUACUCCCUCCGUUCGAAAAUACUUGUCGGAGAAAUGGACGUAUCUAGACGUAUUUUAGUUCUAGAUACAUCUAUUUUUAUCUAUUUCUCUGACAAGUAUUUCCAGAUGGAGGGAGUAUGCG